GAGUUUGAUCCUGGCUCAGAUUGAACGCUGGCGGCAUGCUUUACACAUGCAAGUCGAACGGUAACGCGGGGGCAACCCUGGCGACGAGUGGCGAACGGGUGAGUAAUACAUCGGAACAUGUCCUGGAGUGGGGGAUAGCUCGGCGAAAGCCGGAUUAAUACCGCAUACGCUCUGAGGAGGAAAGCGGGGGACCUUCGGGCCUCGCGCUGCAGGAGUGGCCGAUGUCGGAUUAGCUAGUUGGUGAGGUAAAGGCUCACCAAGGCGACGAUCCGUAGCUGGUCUGAGAGGAUGAUCAGCCACACUGGGACUGAGACACGGCCCAGACUCCUACGGGAGGCAGCAGUGGGGAAUUUUGGACAAUGGGGGCAACCCUGAUCCAGCCAUGCCGCGUGAGUGAAGAAGGCCUUCGGUUGUAAG
rnacentral:rRNA from 1 species